GCACACCUAUAAUCCCAGCACUUGGGAGGCUGAGGCAGGAGUGUUGCCAUGGGAACUGUCUAUUGCCAAGCGAAUCUUCCUGGUGGGCCUGGAAAUGUGGGAGGAGAAGAGAAAUCAGAUCUGGGAGUGAGCAUACUUUGUUUCUCAUUCCAGACUGCCCUCCUUACUUGUGCGGCUCAAUCACCUCCCUCUGAUUCCCCUGUGCACCGCUUCCUCAUCUGGAAACUGCGGAUGCUUAGACCUGAUGAACUGUAAAGGCAUUACCAACUCUGAAGCUGCAUGGCAGUAAUUCAGCUGACCACGCCUGACACAAAGUGAUGCUGGCUCUGGAUCCCAAGCUUCGACACCAGCUGAGCAUUCCUGUGAAUGUGAUUAUAUCCCUGCUCCAUAAAUUUCAGCCAUUUUCAACUUCCAUUGGCAGAUUUUAUGCAAGUGUAUGCACUGCACACUGUGCAGCCCUGUUUGGGACACAGACAACAUACAAAUGCGGCACCACUAAGACGCAGAGAACCACUUGGAAACCCGCAUGCCGGGCAGGCAAACUUCCUCUUUCUGAUCUAAUCAACUUCAGAAUGAUUGUAAAGCCAACAGCUGUGUCAGAACAAUUGGAAAAAUAGAUUCAGAACGAAGGAGACGACCCAGCUCUCUUGGACUUUUCCCUCUGGAAUAUACGUGAAGCAUCAAUGGAAUGUAUAAAUAUUUCAUUCACUAUUUUGUACUACAUGCCUCCCAUGAUUUAUAUGUCUGAUCCAUUACUUUUAAAAUGUACAUUAAUGUCCUCCUUUAAAGGCUUCUCCUAUAAUGUCUGCCUUCAUUACUUAAUGAUCCUCAGGGGAUCGGAACCCUAAGUAGAAUCUAUGACUGUUCUGCAUGACCGUAUAGGCUACAAAAUAUAAACUAAUUUAUGUACAUUUUGUGGAAGGAUUACUUCCUUUGGCGUAGCUGCUAUCUGUGCAGUUUUCUGCCUUGUGGGUUUUUUUUGUUUUUUUUUUUUCUGUGUGAUAUUUGAGACAUCACAGCAUGCCCGACAAGCUAAGGGAAUACUGCAAGGAGAUGGAGGGCCAGAUGGGUAGAGAAAG
rnacentral:lncRNA from 1 species